GAGGAGUUUGAUCCUGGUAGGUGUUGAAGCUGGCGGUUUUUUUCAGUCGUACGUUGGGCGGGUGGUAACAGUGGAUUUACCUUUGGAGGGGAAUAACCAGUUGGACCCGUGCUAAUGCCGUUAUAUGAGAAGAAAUUGGCCUAAAGAAACUUGGUGUGUUAGUUAGUGGUAGGGUAAAGGCCUUACCAAGGCGACGAUCAGUAGCUUGGUUUGAGAGGUAACGACCAGUCACCAUAGAACUGAGCACGGUUCAGACUCAUCGGGAGGUUUAGCAGUGGGGAAUUUUUGCAAUGAGGCGAAAAGCCUGAACAGAGCAAUACGCGGUGAGGAGAAAGCCCCAGGGCUUGAAAACUUUUUGUCAGAAGAAGUUUCUGACGUUACUUGACGAUAAGCAUCGGUAACUACCGUGCAGCGCCGCUGGUAAGAGGAGAUGGACAAGUGUAUCGAAUCACUGGACGUAAGACGGUUUGUAUGGUGUUUUAGUAAGUCUAUUGGUUAAUAUUUGAAGCUCAAUUAAUAAGUAAUAGAAGAUAACUAACUAGAGGAGGUAGUAGGGGUAAAAGUAAUUUCGAGUGAGCGGUUAGAAUGGGUAGAGAGAUUGGAGGAACACCGAUGGCGAGCACUUACUGGGCUAGUCACUGACCUAAGAACGAAAAAGUAGGCGGUAGCGAAAUUGGGAUUAGAUACCCGUAGUCCUAGCUGUAAACGGAUGGGAUACUAGAUGUUGGGUGUAUCGAUCCAUGCGUAUCGUUGAAAGCCGUAGUAUCGCCUGGAGACUAUGUGCAGAGUUGAAACUCAAGGAAUGACGGGGACCGCCAGCGGGGCAGUGUGGGUUUAAUUCGAGUGAACGUGAGAUUUACAGGCGUUUGAAAUUAUGUAAUCUAUUCGAUGAUAGAGUGUCUCGGGAAAUCAUAAUCAGGUGGUGCAUUUGCUGUCGUCAGCUGGUGUGUGAGAUGUUGGGUUAAGUCCGCAACGAGCCACUUGUUUUUUGCUUUACAAAGUAUCUUGAAGACUGCGUUUUAACCGGGAGGGAGGUGAGGAUGAGUCACGUCAGUAUUGCACCUUUACCUGGGGUGCACACGUGUACAUUGGCAGACAAAAGUUGCGAAUUGUGAGGAUGAAGUAAGUCUUAGAAUCUUGCUCUAAGCUUUGAGUUUGAAGGCUGCAACUGUUCUGAAGAUUGGAAUCGCUGUAAUCGCUGGUCAGCUAGUACAGAGUGAAUCCGUUCCCGGGUCUGUAACAACGCACGUCACACCAUGGAAGGUGUUAUACACCGAAGUCGUUAUUAACCUAUAUACUUGAGGAAGCGCUAAGUAAGUGUAGUAGUUGGGGUGAAGUCGACAGGUAUAGCCGUACGGGAGACGUGGGCUG
rnacentral:rRNA from 1 species